rnacentral:rRNA from 1 species
UACAGAGGGUGCGAGCGUUGUUCGGAAUUACUGGGCGUAAAGCGCGCGCAGGCGGCUCUUUAAGUCCGACGGUGAAAUGCCGGGGCUCAACCCCGUGCCCGCCGCGGAUACUGGGGAGCUGGAGACGAGUAGAGGCAAGCGGAAUUCCGGGUGUAGCGGUGGAAUGCGUAGAGAUCCGGAAGAACACCGGAGGCGAAGGCGGCUGCUGGGCUCGGUCUGACGCUGAGGCGCGAAGGUCAGGGGAGCAAACGGG